rnacentral:lncRNA from 1 species
GCAGAAUUCAGCUUUAAAUAUGAACAAGAAAUCAGUUUUACCUACAACUAAAUCAACUGGAUUGUCAACUUUCACAAACCCUAGAUUACCCAUGUCCAUGUCAACCUCCACUCCAAGAUCGUCCAAGCCAGUAUCAAACGCCACUCCAAGAUCGUCCAAGCCAGUAUCAAACUCCACUCCAAGAUCUUCAAAGCUGGUAUCAACCUUUACUCCAAGAUCGUCUAAACCAGUAUCAACUUCCACUCCAAGAUCGUCAAAGCCGGUAUCAACUUCCACUCCAAUAUUGUCUAAGCCGUUAUCAACCUCCACUCCAAGAUCAUCUAAGGCCUUAUCAACCUCCACUCCAAGAUCGUCUAAGCUGGUACCAACCUCCACUCCAAGAUCGUCAAAGUCGGUACCAGCCUCCACUCUAAGACCGUCUAAGACAGGGUCAGCAGCCACCUCCAGGUUGUAUAAGCCACUCUCGACAUCAAGUCCCGCAUUACCCAAG